AUAACAAUUUUAAUUAUUUUCAACCCCUUAGUAAGUUGAUUAUUUUAUAUUUUACUUCAAAUUUUGUGGAUAAUUUUUGAAAUGUUUCCCCAUAAGUCAUCUGAUGCUUAACAGAUACAGCCCUGACUCGUUGGUUCGAAUUCGUCUGCGAGGAAUCCCUCCGAAAAUCGCCUUUUUCGAGAUACUUUUAAAUCGCGUAAAUAUUAGUAGGUAAUGAAAAAUCCACAUAAAAGUAUAUUCGCAGAUAUACACCAUUCACAGGGUUUGCAUCAUCCACACUCGAACCUAAGCACUAACCCGAGUUGUGACUGAAUUGUUGAGAGCAAGCUUCCGUCCGUGCGUUUAAGUCGUUUGCGUCUUUUCUGUGUCCUUCACAGCAGCCUGCCGGACGUCAUCUUCGCGUCUCUCUCAGCAAACAAUAACUUCGCGAUUGUGCCUUUGGAUUGAGGUAUUGCUGUCUCAAGUUGGAAUUGAUCGGGCUCAAUCAUUCUUGGCCUUGAUUGACCGUAGAAAAGUGGCACCGUUAUUUCUUGGAUUGCGAAGCAACAUAAGCAGGGAGAGGUACAAGAAUUGGGACUGCAAUGUCACGACAGUCUGAUGCGCGCCCUCAACGGAUAUCGACAGCGCAGAACAAGACGCUGCACCUGACCGGGAUCGGGCUGGCUGUUCAGGCGUUCUACAUAAACCUUACCUUGGAUUCAGUGCUCGGGGGUGACUAUAUCGAGGUUCGCCCAGCAGGGCCUCCUCUCAUUAAUCCUCCUGGCGUAUGGGGAGUCAAUGGGGUGAAUAGCGGGAGCGUGGGCUACAAUCCGGUCAAUCCGUCAGUGCCGGCUACACCACCAACGCGGGCAACAUUGCUCUCAACGGACUUCGCGCUGCCCACUCCUACGGCGACGCAGGACACAGCCAACACGGAUACAGGGAUGCCAACGGCUACUGGCACGACAAUUCGGGAAUGAAGAAUGGCUACGACGUCGGACAUGCGUAUGGAGGUAACAAAGAUUACGGAGUAAGUUCAAUAGCAGGAGGAGCUUACGGCGAUGUGAAUGGACGGAACAAAGGCCAUCAGGUAGCAGGAUUCAGCACGUCCUAUUCAAAAAAUGAAUCUGGGAACAAGGCUACCUACUACGAUGACGGUCUCGGCCACGGUGGAAGCGUGCAAUACGGAGCUAAAGAUCAAAGGUUCCGCGACGGUGCCGGGAACACAUUUGGAGGUGGAUUCCAUGAUACGUCUCUCAAAACAAAUGCCGGUGGGAAUAGAAAACAGUACGGCGGAGCUGGUGGCUAUGCAAACACAGGUCUUGCGCAAGGAGGCUACGGACAGAACCAGCUUUACGGGGCGGGCUCUGCAGGUGUAGGGUACAGCCUGAGUCAUUUAAACCAAGGACCCAGUGUUACCACAGUGCCUCUUCUACCAUUCUCGUCGAAUAUUAUGCCAACAGUCGUUGCCCCUAGAAUAGCCCCAAAAAAUAAAGUAUCAGGGUUGUACUUGGUACCUGUCCCAAAUAAAUUAUACAGUGAUGGUGCAGGAUCAAGUAUGGCACCCAAAUAG
rnacentral:lncRNA from 1 species